rnacentral:rRNA from 1 species
UACGUAGGGGGCGAGCGUUGUCCGGAUUUAUUGGGCGUAAAGAGCUCGUAGGCGGCUUGGCAAGUCGGGUGUGAAACCUCCAGGCUCAACCUGGAGACGCCACUCGAUACUGCCAUGGCUAGAGUCCGGUAGGGGACCACGGAAUUCCUGGUGUAGCGGUGAAAUGCGCAGAUAUCUGGAGGAACACCGGUGGCGAAGGCGGCAUCCUGGACCGAGAUUGACGCUGAGGCGCGAAAGCCAGGGGAGCAAACGGG